GACGAACGCUGGCGGCGUGCUUAACACAUGCAAGUCGAACGGAAAGGCCCUGCUUUUGUGGGGUGCUCGAGUGGCGAACGGGUGAGUAACACGUGAGUAACCUGCCCUUGACUUUGGGAUAACUUCAGGAAACUGGGGCUAAUACCGGAUAGGAGCUCCUGCUGCAUGGUGGGGGUUGGAAAGUUUCGGCGGUUGGGGAUGGACUCGCGGCUUAUCAGCUUGUUGGUGGGGUAGUGGCUUACCAAGGCUUUGACGGGUAGCCGGCCUGAGAGGGUGACCGGCAACAUUGGUACUGAGAUACGGCCCAGACUCCUACGGGAGGCAGCAGUGGGGAAUAUUGCACAAUGGGCGGAAGCCUGAUGCAGCAACGCCGCGUGCGGGAUGACGGCCUUCGGGUUGUAAACCGCUUUCGCCUGUGACGAAGCGUGAGUGACGGUAAUGGGUAAAGAAGCACCGGCUAACUACGUG
rnacentral:rRNA from 1 species